rnacentral:lncRNA from 1 species
GUUUACAUACAAUUCCGGUUUAAUUUCUAGAAUAUAAGUCCGAUACUCCGCUUCUCGUAACAAAACGUUGUCGUUAGACAUUAUUUCCUAGGAUAAACUUUGUUGAUUGGGCUCACCAGACGAAAUAUAUCUGUUUGGUCGAGAAGAGGAGCCCAUGUAUCCACGAACUAAACGAUGUCGUUGUCUUUCCUGCUCCCCUUAUUUUACUCUACCCCGAUACUCCGCUUCUUCAUAACCCUAGCUCGCUG